CCCCCAUAUCAAACUCAGUAGAGAAACAACAGAAAAGAAAGUACACUUGAUACUUCGCCCAACACCAUCGAUUAUGGGCGCGAGAAAUGCUACCGUGUGCCUUGUGCUGAUCCUUGUGUUAUUCGCGAGUCUUGGUUCUGCAGAAGAAAAGUGCUGGGAAAGUACCUCCGGCAGUCCACUCUGCAUAGGCUUUCUGUGCAAGGCGACAUGCUUCAUUGCCGGCAAAAUGUUUAAUUCUGUCGUCAAGGAACACAGGUGUAUAGGGUCAGCAUUCAAUAGCCAGUGCUACUGCUAUCUGUGCGACAAAUAGUUUGGUAGGGUGGAACCGAAGAUUGCUUCACUAUUAGAAAUGGUCAAGGAAACCUAGGGGAAUAGUUUGUUAUUUCUUGGUUUAGAAUAUAAAGGUAAUGGAUAAUUUAUUCUCGUUGUCAACUUCAUUGUUCGGCGAUGUUGUGAUGAUGUGAAUUUUAUAGAUAAGUGCGUUAUUAUCCCGACAAAAGAUGCCCAUUGAUUUGUAAUUGCAAAUGUAUAUGAUGUGCUAAUCGUCUCAGGAGGUCUAAGCAAUCGGUCAUACCGAUCCCUUGUUAGCACUGAUCGAAAAUGGUUCCAUG